CAAACCUGUAAACCCCAGCUGCCAAAGCAGAGCACCUGAACUUAACUACUAUAUCAUCAGGCUGGCUCCACUGUCACCUUUUCUAGGAAAACACACUCUCAGACUGUAAUAGCCUCUUAUUUUCUGUUUAGUCCCUUUCCCUGUCCCCUUCCCUGCCCCUGUCAAAGGACAUUCAUGCUCUAAUUGUGUGCUUAUCAGUGUUCUCCAUUAGAAUGAUCUUUGAGGGCAAGAGCACCUCCUUCACCAUUGAAUCCGAGCACUUCUCGGUUACUUGGCACAGAGCAGGUGCUCUAGAAAUACUUCUUGAAGGAAUGGAUGGGGGUGGGGUGGAUGGUUGGGAUGGAUGCUUAUUCUGUAUGAGCCUAAGAAAAAGUUGUACAUACAGCAGUAAGCAAUGUUAGUUAACUAUUAGUGGAAAUAGGAUCACUUUUUUUCCCCGUACAUUUAUUUACUUAACUCUGCUUCAUAAAUGUCUUUUAGCAUACAAUAUUCCAAAGUUGCUGUGUUUGGCUGUUUUAGAAGAUUUAAUUGAUUAAUUUUGUUUGUUUAUUAACAUGCAUAGACAAACCAGCACAUCUCACUCAUUCUCUGCAAGCCAGGAUUUGAAGAAACCUGGCUUUCCGGUCAUGAGGAAUGAAGUAGACACAGGGUUAAGAUCUUGGCUCCACAGUCAGUGAUGGCUGGUUGAGUCCUGCCAUAAGACUGACCAGCCGUGUGACCUCAGGCAAUGACAUAAUGUGUCUAGAGUCCUUAGCAGAGUGUCUGGUACAUAAUAAGAACUCAACAACUGGUAGCAAUAAUUAUUGUUGUAUUUGCCACAAAAAUUAAUACUAAUUUUGUCAUUAUCCUGCCCUAGUAUCGUCAUCAGAUCAUGACUAAGGCCACUGGGGGUUUGUACACUGUGUGCAGGAAAAGCAACCAACAAAGACCAGCCCUAAUGAGGUCAUUGGAGAAGACUGAAUUCUCCUCAUUGGACAGACAAGGAAACCCACAGUCAGCAGGGUGAGGAGACCUGCUCCUAGUCACGUAGCUCAUAAGGGCAGAGCCAAGACUCAUGCCAGAACUUCUGAUUCCAAAGUCAGUUCUCUUUCCACUACACUGCACGGCCUCUGGGCGUUAGCAUUUCCAGGACCUACAGGCUUCCAGGUGUCUAAGAUCAAAUAGGACUCAGGAUUCCAAAUAAGCACCCUGGGACUGACUGUUCCCCUCCCUUCAUUCAUAGGUGCUUGAGAUUGCGGGCCCCCGGGGCAUUCUGCCCAGGCUGCAGCGUUCACGGAUGUGGCUCCUCUCCACAGGCUGCCCUCUGCCAAGGGGACAGACCGGCUCCCACAGAGACCAAAGCGUCCUUUUACAGAGUAGCUGCUGCAUCUCCCUGGGGACUGCGCUGGGAAUGCCAGCUACCCCCUACACUCCAGAAGCCCCCUGCUUGAUUCAGAACACUCUUUAUUUCUCUCUUAUGUACAUCCUAAAAGUGGAACCCAGUGCUCUUCAAGGAGGAAAAUCUACUUGCUCUUCCCCUGGAACAACAUUCUGCUGAACCUGUGGCUGGGCCACCCUGUCCUUCCCAAAUGCGUCCUCUGCUUCCUGUCCAGGAGAAGCCACUGGAGUUCAGAGUCCAGACAGGAAUCCUGUGUUUGAGGAGUGAAAUCCACUUUCAAUCUCCUUUGUUGACCUGACUUUCACCCUUCCCCAACAGCAUUCCAAACUCCCACUCACAUCAACAAGCUGUAUUUUUAAAAGUUGGUUGGAAUUGUGAAAGCUUAAGGUUACGAGAGCUCAAGGAUACGGCCAAAGCUGAGUCUGACAGCUUAUUUUACUGCCCGCACUGGGGCAGUCAAGGCCAGGGCAGUGUCAGUGAAAGUCCAGGGUUUUCUAGUGGCCAUGGGCUUUUGGUCUUAUGCAAGAGAAGGGAGGUAAAGCUGAAAACACAUCAUCGAGUUAGAGAAAAUAGGUACAUUGACUGGCACCACUCUAUGCUCAACACAGUGGCAAACACACCUGGUUACCUUCUCUUUCCAUCUUCAAGUUAUAGGAUCCCCAUUUCUAGGGGGUGGCAACAUGCUCAAGGAAGACGGAACCCUUCUCUCAGCCUAAGAGAAUGAAGCAUAAUUGGCUUACAACAUAUGUGGCAAUUCCAUUCCCUUCUUCCCAUGAUUAACUUGGGAGUAAACAUGUGACCCAGUUCUUGACCAAUGAGACCAAAGGAGCAAUUUGUUGCUGGUUCUCAGAAGAUUUUUGUUUUUUGGUACAAAAAGAAACAGCAAGUUUCUUCCCACCUGACUUGAAUGCAAUUGGGUGAGAAUAUGGUUCUUGGAGCUACAGCAACCAUUUUGUGAUAUGAGGCAACAAGCCAAAGGGCACAGGAUAAAACAGUGAAAAGACAGAACCUGUGGUUUUUGAGAAUAUCAUUAAACUACUGAACCAAUCUGGAACUGUUUUCUUCUAGACUUUCAUAUUUGUGAGAUGAUUAAAAAUUUCUGUUGUUUUAGCCACUAUUUCUUUUCUGUUACUUGCAGCCAAAGACAUCUCAUGUGAUACAAAUAAUAUCUAAUUUGUGUUGUAAUUUAUCUAUUUUACAUCUGUUGAUUCUGUCUUAUUGACUUUUGUAUUUUUAGCAUUGAAGGUGAUCCUGGCGUUUAUUAAGUCUUCAAUAAAAUGCCUGUUGAAAAAGGUUUUUAGGUGAUAAAUCUUCUGAAAUUGCUGAAGCAGGAAGAUCAGGUUCUGGUUUUAGGUCCUAUAAAUGUCUUCAUUUCUGUCUGAUCCUAACUUUACUGGGGCCAAAGAAUGAUUAAGAAGAAGUAUGAAAAACCACUGGUAUUGUGGCUACUGCUAAGAAUUCUCUCUUGAGAAUUCUCAACAAUGCCCAUCAGCCACAUUUAGAACUCUCUAGUGAUCGACCUUUUUGAACUUAAAUCGGCAUAUAUAAUCAAUGGAAUAUUUAAAUUGGUAUUGUCCUAAAAAAUCUAGGACAUGUGUUUUUUACCUUUAGUAACCAUCUAUGUAACAUCUCUUAUCUACCAGGCACUUUAUGAUGCACUGGGGAUGAAGAGACAAAUCACCACACAGCCCCUAUCCUUGAAAAGCUUACAGUGACAAAACAGGGUGUUACAACCUAAAUAGAGGUAUUACAAGGUAAUAUAUCCAGCCCUCUUAGUAUAGCAUAAUACUACCACUGAGUUAAUUAAGAAAAUCAGAUUCCUAGGCACAUCUCUUUGAUGAGAUAGUGUCCAUGAAAACUUCCCAAGCUUGGUUCUCCCCAGUUGAGUUUAUUUUUGGGGUGACUUUCUGCUGUCAUCACCCAAGGUCCUCAACAUUUACCCCAUAUGCCCCAGAGGCACCCCUUGCCCAGAGUGCACCCUCUGCAUGGUUCACCCAAAGCAGUUCUUUCAAGGGAAAAACAGGUUGAUAAUUGGGUGAAGAUUUGGGGGCCACUUCUCUAGGUGGAGGGGAUUAUGAGUAGCAUCUUGCUUUCCUAUGAGUCAGCAAAUAUAAAGAAAAUACGCAGAAGAUCCCAUUCUCCUUCUUAGCUGACCGUGAUUUCCGAACAAGGCCGGAGCUCUUGUGCUCAGCAUCUCUGGCCCAUCAGCCUCAAGGGCACCUCUCAGUCCUGCAUGGAAUAUCAGUGCACAGAAAAAACAAACUUAGAGUUAUUAAUUUCUGCACUGGUCUGCCUUUUGUAGAAAUUGCCAGAAACUGGCUUUUCCAUCCCUCUUUCCUAACAUAUGAGGCCCCCUGCCAUCCCUUAUACAUCUUUUCCCCCCUCUCCUGAUGUCCAGUCAUCAAGUCUUUAGGGGUACCCUGACCUCUGGUUGCCUCAGCUAUAUUUUUUCUUCUUCAAGACACAUUGGUACCCAGAGCUUGACCGCUUGGGAAAGCAUAUCAGCUUCUCCACUUAGAAGCUGUGGGAUUCAAGUUAGUCUUACUCCCUUUGCCUCAGUUACUACAUCUGUAAGAUGGAGAUUUACAACCUUUCCUCCCAGAGCCACCAUCAGGGGCUUCCAAUUUGCUGACUUGGAUCACCAAGCCCCUCUUAGCUGACCUCCUCCUGCAAUUGCUCACCAUCCGGACUCAUGGCUGUGGAACCACAAGCAGAACCAGCACUGUAUUUAAGACUCAUUCUGCAUUGCAUUUGUGCACUUUGUGAUAAGUCAUCAAACCGUGUACUGAUUGUGUCUUUUUUCUGUAUGUAUGUUAUACUCUAAUAAAAUAUUUACUUAAAAA